AGUGAACGCUGGCGGUAGGCCUAACACAUGCAAGUCGAACGGCAGCACAGUAAGAGCUUGCUCUUACGGGUGGCGAGUGGCGGACGGGUGAGGUAUACAUCGGAAUCUACUUUUUCGUGAGGGAUAACGUAGGGAAACUUACGCUAAUACCGCAUACGACCUACGGGUGAAAGCAGGGGAUCUUCGGACCUUGCGCGAUUGAAUGAGCCGAUGUCGGAUUAGCUAGUUGGCGGGGUAAAGGCCCACCAAGGCGACGAUCCGUAGCUGGUCUGAGAGGAUGAUCAGCCACACUGGAACUGAGACACGGUCCAGACUCCUACGGGAGGCAGCAGUGGGGAAUAUUGGACAAUGGGCGCAAGCCUGAUCCAGCCAUACCGCGUGGGUGAAGAAGGCCUUCGGGUUGUAAAGCCCUUUUGUUGGGAAAGAAAAGCAGCAGGUUAAUACCCCGCUGUUCUGACGGUACCCAAAGAAUAAGCACCGGCUAACUUCGUG
rnacentral:rRNA from 1 species